GUCGCUGCAAAUUCAGCGACCGGGCUUGGUAACCCGUUGAACGUUAGGCGCAACAGCGCCCCCAUUACGAUUGCAGGCGCUUUUUUU
rnacentral:sRNA from 1 species